GGUCAUGGCUCAGGACGAACGCUGGCGGCGCGCCUAACACAUGCAAGUCGAACGAGCGAGAGAGAGCUUGCUUUCUCGAGCGAGUGGCGAACGGGUGAGUAACGCGUGAGGAACCUGCCUCAAAGAGGGGGACAACAGUUGGAAACGACUGCUAAUACCGCAUAAGCCCACAGCUCGGCAUCGAGCAGAGGGAAAAGGAGCAAUCCGCUUUGAGAUGGCCUCGCGUCCGA
rnacentral:rRNA from 1 species